GUCUUUUUCACUCUGUUCAAGUGUUUGUUUUCCUCUGUUGCCCAGCAGUCGUACGAUUUGUCCUGACGUGUCCUGACAUGCCCCGAUAUGCAUGCUUUCCUUUGUUGACGCUUAGUAUUUUUUCUCUUUUGACAAGGAACAUUGUUGUCUUGACGAUAGUGCUGCCCUGAGUUCUGCGCGCGUUGAUUUGUUGAGUGCCUAGUCCUCUUAUUAGCCGUUGUUGGAGUUACAUGUUAGGAUGUUUUGUUCUUUUGCAAGUCUCAUUUAGUAAGACUUUGGAAUUCCUUCGAUCAGCUUUCAUGCAUGGUGCUCUUCUGCAAUAGUUUCCUAUGCAAUCGUUAUAGAAGAAUAAAGGAAAUAAUCUUGGGAUAGUGAUUCAAUAAAUAAUAGGUCCCCUGCCUAGAGCGCACGCGUCCUUGAGCCACGCAGGUGCAUGAUGACGUCAUACCAUGGCUUCACUGCAGAUUGACCAAAGGAGCAUUAGUGGAAAAAAAAAACAGUGUAGCCCUGAGACAAUAGGAUGAUGUCUGGACCAAUGAGAACUGCCAGCAGGGGGCGCAGGAAUGCUCUUCUCACUUAGCCUCACGACCAAUGAGAACUGCCAGCAGGGGGCGCAGGAAUGCUCUUCUCACUUAGCCUCACGACCAAUGAGCAACGAGAGAAGAGGGCGCAGGAAUGCUCUUCUCUCUUAGCCUCUCGCAGGUGGCGGUAGGAGCGCGCAGAGGGCGCUACGAGCGCGCGCAUGCGUAGCACCCGUAGAGUGGCGCUUACGUCAGUCCACCUCUGGCUCUCGUUGGGAGAAGACGUGUGGUCGUUCGCUCCGUCGUCACUUGAUCCCUGGCUGUCGACGAGAGCAGUCGCAUCGGUCUGCGCUCCUACUGUGAGCUGUCCUAACCUGCCCAGACAUGCCAUGAUGACGUCACAGCUGACGUCACAGGAUGUGCGGAACUGGUGCUGCGAUGCUUUGCAACCUGCCUCAGUGCUCCGUCGCCCAGCGGCCUUUCCGGGCCGCUUUCUUCAAGACGAUGUCGUUGAUCUUCAACUAAACUCCUUCUCUCCA